rnacentral:lncRNA from 1 species
AUGUUUUCUCCCCUAUCUAGGGCCUGAGGAUAUUCUGCAUUCAGUUGAUGGACAAUCAAGGUGCAUAAAGCAUGUGCAUAUCUCUGUCUCCUCUGCCUGGAAUGAUGCACAACAUGUUCUCCAUUUUUCCUUUGGAAGUCUCUGUCAGAAACAUGCUACCACAUGGAAAGAUCUACAUGGCAAGGAACUGAAAGAAUGAAAGAGGACCCCUUCUAAUAGCUAGCAAGAGGCUGAUUCUGUCAGCCUAAUAGCCUGUAAGGAACUAAAUCCUGCCAACAACCACGUGUCUUGAAAAUGUAUCCUUCCACAGUCUAGCCUCAGAUAAGAGUCUACCCCAAACAAUAGCUUGGUUGCAACCUUGUGAAAGACACUGAAGCAGAGAACCCAGUUAAGUCACACCCAGAUUUUUGGCCCAGAGAAAUUGUGAGAUAACGAACAUACCUUGUUUUAAGCUGCUAAUUUUGUGGGAAUCAGUUACACAGCAAUAGAGAACUAAAAAAUUUGCUCAAGGUAAUGGAAGUAAUAAGUUGAUGAGUAAGAAUGUGAAACUUGACAGUUUGAUUUAGGAAGUUUAUGCUAACAGCUGCAAUUUUAUAUUUUUACAUUGGAACAUUUUUAUUUUUUAUGUUUCAGUAGAAAUUGUUCUAGUACCAGUUUUAAUUAUAAAAGGUACCAUGAUAAAAGCCAAAAUCGGUUACCUGAGAGUAAGAUGUUCCUAUCUAAUAGAGUUCUUGGGUAUCUACUUGCAUCCAUUGAGAAAUAAAGAUUUGGAAAGUAUUCUGAGUGAGGGAAAGACUUGAACUUUGCCCAUAACUGGCAUUCAGAUAAAGACAAGUUUGAUAAAUACCCUAGCAGUAGUCAUACACAUGGGAGAUGAUGGGGUUUCUGAUAUUAAAUUUCUGUGAGAGGGGAUUGCAUCUAACACAAUCAUCUCAACUUUAAAUGAGGCUCUAGGGUUGAAGUAAAAUGAUAGCUCAGAGCACAGCUUGGUGGCAGUUACCAGUUCUAAUGGCAUCUCAGUGCUCUGUGCAGAAGAGGACUGUGUAGGAGUUGAAAGAGAUGUUUCCUUUGACUCUGAAACUCUGACACUGAAGCAAAGUCACUGUGGGACCCAAUUAAUUGAGUGUAAGACAGAGGAUAACAUUUCUCUCACUUGGCAAGUAUGGUGAGAGAGCCCCAGCUCAACAAUUCCAAGGCUCAAAUAAUUUUGUCACCAGUGACAGCUUUAUUGGGCAGCAGGAGCAGAGGUCUGUUUGUCUGUGGACCUGUCUGUUCCUGAGGCAUGGGAGCCCAGCCCAAUGAGUUGUGGGAAGGACAGCAAGCAGGACUCAUACAUAUGUGAGUGGAGAUAAGGAUAGGGAAUAUUGCAGUCAAGCAGAGGAGGGUUUACAGAUAGAGUGUUAAUGUAGGUGUCACGAUAUUUCACGUGUAGGCUGAUGAUGCCAGAACAUUAAGUUAUAUAAAGAUUAAAGAAAAUAAAUAAGCUAUGAAAUUCCACAGCCCAAUCACUCACAUGUCUGUGCAAAAUAUCUCUCGUGUAAAAUUGGUGAUUACAUUCUGAAGAAACUUGUUUCUGAAUAUUUUAUGCUGCCAUAGUUAUUUGAAACUUGGCAGUCUGAAUAUUUAUGCUGCCAUAGAGUUAUUUGAAAAUACAAAGUAGAAUUAUUUAAAUUAUUCUUGAAAAUGAAUGUGUUCAUUAAGUCAAUGUACAGCCACUACUAAUUAAGCGCCUCUUUGUAGGAGGGAGAGAGAGAGAGAGAGAGAGAGAGAGAGAGAGAGAGAGAGAGAGAGAGAUACUACUGAAGCCUGAGUAGAUACGAAAAUAUCUCCGUUAAGAAGUUUCAAACCCACUGAACCAGACUGAAACUGAUGACUUGAUCAUGAUAUUUGUCAAGUUAAUGUCUAAAGACUUUCGUCUGUGAAAGAUAGUGAAACAGCUAUGCAAAUUUAUGCAUAAAAAUAAAAAUCCCAUAUGUGCCUAGAGGGAGAGGUUUCCAGCCAAAAUGCUAAUGAUAUGACAUAAUAAUACUUAACAUUUCUAUAGAUUUUAAUUCAAAGAGCUUAAAAUGUACUACAAAUAUCUACUAAAUGAGAAUAAGCCGUAUUGUCUUCCUGUGUUACACAUUUCAAGAGUGACUACAUUUUAAUUGAACAAAAAUAUAUGCAUAAUAAUAAAAUCUUCAAAGUGAAAACACCAGGAAAUGGCUAAAUAAACUGUUUAAGAUUUUAAAACAUCUCACUGAUCCCAUUGAAUUAAAUGUAUGAUCAAAACUGCAUGCAAAUUUGGA